rnacentral:rRNA from 1 species
CCCGACUGCUAUCAGAGUGGGAUUAAGCCAUGCGAGUCAACGUAGUAAUACGUGGCAUACGGCUCAGUAACACGUAGUCAACAUACCUAAGAGACGUGGAUAACCUCGGGAAACUGAGGAUAAACCGCGAUAGGUCAUAUUUUCUGGAAUGAUUUAUGGCUCAAAUCUACAAGGCUCUUGGAUUGGACUGCGGCCGAUCAGGCUGUUGGUGAGGUAAUGGCCCACCAAACCUGUAACCGGUACGGGCUCUGAGAGGAGGAGCCCGGAGAUGGGCACUGAGAAAAGGGCCCAGGCCCUAUGGGGCGCAGCAGGCGCGAAGCCUCUGCAAUAGGCGAAAGCUUGACAGGGUUACUCUGAGUGGUUUCCGCAAAGGAAAUCUUUUGGCACCUCUAAAAAUGGUGCAGAAUAAGGGGUGGGCAAGUCUGGUGUCAGCCGCCGCGGUAAUACCAGCACCCCGAGUGGUCGGGACGAUUAUUGGGUCUAAAGGGUCCGUAGCCGGUUUGGUCAGUCCUCCGGGAAAUCUGACGGCUCAACCGUUAGGCUUUCGGUGGAUACUGCCAGACUUGGAACCGGGAGAGGUAAGAGGUACUACAGGGGUAGGAGUGAAAUCUUGUAAUCCCUGUGAGACCACCUGUGGCGAAGGCGUCUUACCAGAACGGGUUCGACGGUGAGGGACGAAAGCUGGGGGCACGAACCGGAUUAGAUACCCGGGUAGUCCCAGCCGUAAACGAUGCUCGCUAGGUGUCAGGCAUGGCGCGACCGUGUCUGGUGCCGCAGGGAAGCCGUGAAGCGAGCCACCUGGGAAGUACGGCCGCAAGGCUGAAACUUAAAGGAAUUGGCGGGGGAGCACAACAACGGGUGGAGCCUGCGGUUC